rnacentral:lncRNA from 1 species
AAGCCUUUAAAAUUCUCCUUUGACAUAAGCAACAGAAUGAGCAACAUCACUGUAUUCAGCCAUACACAUAGACACUGCAUGGGGGUGAGUCGACAGUCAAAGUGCAGAAGAACGCUGGGAUUACUAGAUGAUGUUAGAAAUGGGCUGUUCCUGAUGAGAUAUUGGAAAUUACUUUUACAUUUACUAUAUGUGAUCAUAUCAAUUGCAACUGUCUACAAAAAAAGGUCUCAUCGGAUGGGGAAUAAUUUAUGGAUUUAAGGAUGAAUGAUACAGCAUGUAAGAUAUAUUCUACUAUAUUACACCAAAAUAUUUCUUAUAAAAAUGAAGAAAAAUGUGAAAAAAAUGAAGGAAGACUCCUGAUUAGCAAAAUAUGGAUAUUGUCUGAAACAAUGAUAAGUGCAUAGUGGCUCACUGUAUUACUGUUUUAAUUUUGAGUAUAUCUAAAAUUUUCAUAUUAAACCUAAAACAAAUGAUGAGUCUGGAUACAAGGUUAGCAUUUCACCGAGUUAUGAACAGAGGCGUAUAGGUCCUAGAGUCUAGAUUCUUAAAAACAUGUCCCCAGGUGAUUCUUAUCUGUUCUGAAGUUUGAGCACUACCAGUUGAGAUUUAAGGUGGCAGAAUCAAUUCUCGAAUAAAUCCUUCUCUCCCAAAGAGAACAAUUGCUACUGUGUAAGGUGCUCAAGAAAAACUUAACUCCAAGGGCAAAAAUAUCAAGACACGAGUCGCAAAGAUGAAAACAGCUGCAGUGAUUCUGUAACACAACAGAGCUGGCUCACAAAUGCUUAGAGAUAUGUCUGUGGGCUUCAUGAGAUAGAAGGCAUGCUUUCAAAAAUUACCUAUGAUUUACUCUUAAUUAAAUUAGAGAGGUCAGUGCCUUCAUUGAGUAAAAGCAGACCUGGGGAAGAAGGGCAAGUUCUCUAAUACAAAUGACAAUAACUGAAAUAACAAUCUUAUUUGAAAAGAGGAAAAAGCAGACCCAACAUUGCAGCUAAUCAAAUCACCCAGACGCAGGAUAUUGAGGCAAUGAAAUCAAGAAUUAAAAAAAUCAUUCUGAAUAUAAUAAGCAGAGAGGUUAGUCAUGAAGAUCAAAACAAUAAACUCCACAAAAAAUUUUAAUCACCCAGUAAAGAUACAAUAAAAUAAAAUUUAAGUUUUGGUGAGUAAAGACACAGUAUCGCAUUAGGUUUAUCGUGCCCAGGUAACAUUAUUGAUCAGUUUAUAGAACAGAAGCAGCCUGUUAUUAAUUCUAAAUUACAGAAUAUAGUAAGGAUGAAGUCUAGCUUUAAGUGGAGAAAACCCUGACCUCUUCCCUAGGAUCUUAUCUUUAUUGUUAAUUUUUUCCUUAGUUCUCCUUUCAUCAUUCUAGGCUCAGAGACAAUGGAAGUAUUUGGGAGCAGAACCUGGGAUUUUAAAUUGCUAUUGAUAUGAAAAGGCAUCCUGGGAUAUUACAUAGAAGAGAAUAUGUCAUUCACGAGUUUGGUUUGGUGAAGUCGGUUGUAAAUACAAUUAAUGCCAUUGAAAGAGAAAUCGGCUGCUUAAGUCUCCUGGUUUGUUUUGUGAUGUCAUAGGAUUGUGUCAAGCUGAAGGUGCAUCCCUGCCUCUCAUUUCAACAUUGCUAAGGCAAAAUGGCCCUUCCCACCCCUAGUGUCCUAUGGCCACUGCUUGGCAGGUGCAGAGGUGGCUCUUUGUCAUUACCUACAUGUGCACAAGCCCAGCAGGAAUGCUUUUGACAUGACUGAACAAGGACAGCUCCUUGGUAUUUGAAAACCAAAUCAUAUCAGGGUGAUUGGGAAAAAAUAGAAAUCCAGAUUCUUGCCUGAAAACCUUCUUUUAAAGGUUUUGAGCUAAAAUAAAGAAAAUGUAAGCAUCAAAACUUACAAAAUGAUGUUAGCAGCUUGGGAGAAAAAAAAUCUGCAGAUGGCCCAAAAAGCCCUUUUAUGAAGAUUGCUGCCCUAGAUUUUGUAUUUUCAUAGAAAGGGUCUCCUUGGGUUAUCGGGAUGCUAUAUUAUUCUCUAUAUUAAUGUGGGUCUUAUAAAAAUUUGAAGUUACAUAUUCUUUUCUGACUGAAAGAGAGAAGAGGAUGAAGAGAGAAAGAAGAAAUCAUCAUGAUGUAUUUUCAACCCUCCUGAUUGUUUGGCUCUUAUUGGAUAGAAAUGUGGUGAUAUAGCUAGCUUCAAGCUGCAAAGUUUUCAGCAAAGAUAAUAUAAUCAAUUAAAGAUUUAUUGUCCUUUUUAUAUAUGUACACACAUGGUUUCUAUGAAAUUGUAUACAAAGGCCUAGAGACUUUUUAUUUAUUUAUAAAAUAGACUUUCUACAAAUAAAGCAUUAUAAUUUGAAAUAUUUUUUUCUUUCCUGGUUAGGACAUACAAUGACACUUUUUAUAAUAAAUGGUUUGUCAGGGCUUGAACCACUGAAAUAGACAUCAUUUCGUACACAAUUGCCAUGGUCUAGGCAUAGUUUCAGAGGUCUUAUGUCAUUUCUUUAUUUGAACCCUAUAAGGUAGGUCAUAUUAUCUCUACUUCACUAUGAUAUUAUAUAUCCUGUGUCUCUCAGAGAAUCUCCCUUGGGAUUCAAACCCUGUCUGACUCUAUUGCUCUCAACUCUUUAACUGGUCAACCAGGUUCCUAGAAUGAUUUUAGAAACCUGAGCUGGAGAUGUUUCUCAGGAAGCAUGCAAAAGGUACUGACAGAACGCAGGCUUUUCCUCUUCUACAUUCUUUUCCUCUUACAUUUGCCAUAAACCAGAAACCAAAAUAUCAACAAAAGCACACCAUGAGAAUGCAUAAAGCUUACAGACAAGACCCCUGACUUCACAAAUGGUUUGCUUUUCAUCAUUGGC